AUCAAGAAACACAUUUGAACAUGAUGGACUACAGAUCAGGACUGAUCCUUCUAAUGAUUUGCUUUAUGGGUGUUGAUGGUCAGACUCUGACUGAAUCUGAUUCAGUGGUUAAUAAACCAGGAGAAUCCCACAAGCUGACAUGUACAGCUUCAGGAUUCACAUUUAGCAGCUAUGAGAUGAACUGGAUCAGACAGGCUCCUGGGAAAGGACUGGAGUGGCUUGCUUAUAUCAGUCAAAGUGGUGGCUACACAGGCUACUCUCAAUCAGUUCGAGGCCGGUUCACCAUCUCUAGAGACAACAACAAACAGCAGCUGUAUCUGCAGAUGAACAGCCUGAAGACUGAAGAUUCUGCUGUUUAUUUCUGCGCUCGAGAGACACAGUGACUGAAGUUGGUUCAUCAGCUGUACAAAA